GCGAAAUACAGAAAAACUCUCAUAACAAUGUGCUAGAUUAGCCAAGAGAAAAAAGAAUCGAUAUCACCGCCUGAAGAACAUUCGCAAUAUGCAGUUCAAACGUCGCCAAGCGCGUGAUUGUUGAGGGAAAUGUUAGUCAGCCGUCACGUACAUGUUGUAGCAUUAAGGAAGCUGUCUUCACCCUAAUCGGUUGUAAGCAGAGCUGUUGAUCUCCUCGAGAGUGACGAAAAAAGUGAUAAAGUUGAUGUCAAAAUCAUGUCCACUACAUUUGCUGCUCUGUGGAAGAUAUUGUUCGUUUCAUACGCCUAUGCGCAAGAAACGUGCAGAAUUUUGGAGUUUGUUCAACCCGAGGAAGACAAUUACCUCGAAAAUCACGUCAUUAAGUCCUUAAUGGUUGAUAACAAAGAUCAGUGUAAAGUGAGGUGUUACGCAGAGAACUUCUGUUCAUCCUUCAAUCUUGGAAUUUCAGAGACCAGGGGCAAAUUAAAAUGUGAACUCAGUGACUCUGAUCACUUUCAACAUCCUGAACAUCUCAUUUGUAAGAAAGGCUUCUCCUAUCAUCCA